UUUACAAAGUUCAUGGACAUGUUAUGAGUGAUGCAGCGACUACCCAGCUGUAGUUUCCAGCCACGUAUCUCUGGGACCUUCAGGACGAGAGAAAAUCACAGGUCCAGAAGUGGAAGGCGGUG
ensembl:lncRNA